AGCUCUUUCAGCGUGUGCUGCUGAGUUCACCAACACAUCUGUUGAAAAACGAAGAGAAUGCAUCCUGAAAGCGGUUUGUCUUUACCUCAAUAAAAGUCCUGAUGACCUGAUAAAGGAGUCCCUGGAUGCUGAUCUUGAAGCGGAGCAGGCAACAAAUGAGCAACUCCACAUGGUGAUCCACGUCAUUCAACAUGAAGGAGCUGAGCUCACAGAUGACCCCGCGGAGGUGAACAUUUUCAUAGAGGGGGUGGAAGUGCUGCAGGAUGUAAAGGACGUGCACUGAAAAAAAGGAGACAGCCGUCUCUUGGAUUAAUCUAAGCAUAUCUGGUGCAUUUAACACAAUUUCUACAUGUUUUCGAGUCAAAUGUGACUGUACAAUGUAUAAUCUACAUGAAAUGAUAAGAUUGCACAUAGAUUUGUUCAGAUCACUUUGGAAUGAAGCAACUCGGUUAUGUUGCAAUACUAAUUAUCGGGAUACCUCACGGGAUUUCCUCUCGCGCGCUAAGGAUUGUUGGAAAAAGAAGGCAGCCAUCUCAGUCAAAUCCAAUGCCUCGUGGUACGACACGUCACACCACAACUUUCCCGAUUGACAAACUCAAGUCAUCUAUUCACCUGGAGUCAGUUGAAAAGUCGUGGGCUCAAGUAUUUGUGUGAACAGUGCUACUAGUGUUCCAGUGACAGAGUGAAUGUGGCAAUGCAAGGCCUGCCCUUCAGUUUUUCAAAAUAAACGCAGAGUUCAAGCGCAUUACAACCAUGCCUCUACAGUCAAGGUUUCUGUCGCAGCUUGACUUUCUGUCUGAAAGUCUGCUGAGAGUGUUUGCAAAGCCAUCGGGGAAGCAGGGCAAAAUGUUGAAAGACAUGACAGACAUGAUGAUGGAUGACGUGGAUGCUAGAAGGGAGUCCCUCAUUAAAAAGGACUUUGCCUCUAUUUGAAGGAGAAUCCUGACAUCUUGGUGCACGAGUACAUGGACAUGACUGAUGUCUCCACUCUCAGUGCCAUUGAGAAAACAACAGUGGGAGUCUAUGUUGCCAGGGAGACACCAGGCAAGGACUUUCCUGAUGUUGGCAUCAUCAUCGAAGGUGUGGUGAUACUUCAGGACCUGGAUAAUGUGGCCCUUGCAACAGCCAUGCUGUUUGGACUUUUUUACUGCUUCAACAUGAGUUACCUGGCACAGCUCCCCUACACUUUUGAGGUGAUUCAAAAGGUGGUCAUGGAAUUGGAUCCGACUGAACUCUCGAGAAAAGCCCAAAACUUAAAGACAAAACUUCAAUAAGAAGAGAUCAUUGUUGUGCACGUCACAUGUUUAACUAAAGGUAAGAGGACAUUUAUAGUUCACAUACGCCCUCUUGCAUUUUGGACAUUGAAUUUGUAGGUGAAUGAUCAGCAACCCAAAAACGAUCACAUUGUUCAUUGUAGUGUUUAUUCUGUGGGAUGGUUAUAACUGUUUACCUGCCAUGGAAACGUAGUGCCAUUUUUUUCUGUUUAAUUGGUAUGGUUCUUCAAUUUUGUUUUUCCAAGUGAAAAAGGAUGAUUGUACGCAAUCUGAAAAGGUUGUAGUUU